GAUGAAGAACGUAGCGAAAUGCGAUAAGUAAUGUGAAUUGCAGAAUUCAGUGAAUCAUCGAAUCUUUGAACGCACAUUGCGCCCCCUGGUAUUCCGGGGGGCAUGCCUGUCCGAGCGUCAUUACAACCCUCAAGCUCAGCUUGGUAUUGGGCCCCGCCGACCCGGCGGGCCCUAAAGUCAGUGGCGGUGCCGUCCGGCUCCGAGCGUAGUAAUUCUUCUCGCUCUGGAGGUCCGGUCGUGUGCUCGCCAGCAACCCCCAAUUUUUUUCAGGUUGACCUCGGAUCAGGUAGGGAUACCCGCUGAACUUAAGCAUAUCAAAGCGGAGGA
rnacentral:misc_RNA from 1 species